GACGAACCGUCCUAACGUUAUUCGGAUUCACUGGGCUUAAAGGGCGCGUAGGCGGACGAGCAAGUCCGGGGUGAAAUCUUUCGGCUUAACCGGAAAAGUGCCUCGGAUACUGCUUGUCUUGAGGGAGGUAGGGGCAUGUGGAACUUCCGGUGGAGCGGUGAAAUGCGUUGAUAUCGGAAGGAACGCCGGUGGCGAAAGCGACGUGCUGUCCCUCUUCUGACGCUGAGGCGCGAAAGCGUGGGGAGCAAACAGG
rnacentral:rRNA from 1 species